AAGGAAAUUUCUCUGUCCCGCCUUAGUGAUGACGAGAAUGGACAACACAACGCGUAGCGGAAGUCGUUGCUGAGGAGUUGAAAACCAAACACAAAGUAACCUCGUUGGUUACGAAAUUUCAAACGGAACCAUGUCCACUAGAUUUCGCGGAUCACAAGAACACAAACGUGGUUCUUCUUCCAGAACCAGUACUUCACACGUUCCCCCUGCCCAAACUUCUCGACUUGUUGAUAUUUUGAAGGAUAAAAGUGUCGAUGAGUUGCAAAAGCUUUUAUCUAACAAAGACGCAUAUCAGCAGUUUCUAAGUUCACUUGAUGAGGUCAAGAUUCAAAAUAAUGUAAGAUG